rnacentral:sRNA from 1 species
GUACUAACAGGAGCCUGCCAUCCCCAUUCCUUCGCAGCUCCUGCUGCCUGGGCACAAAUGCCCUGGAGAGUGAGUGACUGUCAGACCAGCCGGAGGGGAGCAAUGGGAAGAGCCGCUUGCUGAGAAGAGGUGGGCUUGGCAGGACUGCAGAUGGAGUACUCUCCCCAACCCCCUGCAGGUGCUGGUCUAAGCCAAGCUGGGAGGAUGGAGGCCGGCCCUGGCCCAGCCCCAGGCAAGGGAGGAGCCUCAGCCCAGAUGGGGCAGGUGGGGAGUCUGGGCUCAGGUGUGUCCUGUGGGAAGUGAUUGCUCCCUGGCUAGCAGAGACAGAGGAAAGCGGAUUGUUGGCCCCAGGACCCAGCUCUGAGAGGCUGGGCUUGUUUCCCCGACUCUGCCUUGGAGGAAAGCAAUGGAAGGGGAAGGGGUAAGAAACUUCAAGGAACUUCGAGCCAAAUUUCAAAAUCUUGAUGCUCCACCUCUUCCAGGACCUAUUAAAUUCCCAGCAGGUGUUUCUCCAAAGGGUGACAUUGGAGGCACACAGUCAACUCAAAUUUUGGCCAAUGAGAAACCCCUCCCAUCCAACCACAAGCAGCGCACACCAUACUGUUCCAGUAGUGAGUCCCAGCCUCUUCAACCUCAGAAAAUAAAGUUGGCUCAGAAGAGUGAAAUUCCAAAAUGUUCUAAUGCCCCAGGGCCUCUGGGAAAGUCUACUGUAUGUUCUGCAGCAAGUUCACAGAAGGCUUCUCUGCUGUUAGAGGUGACUCAAUCAAAUGUUGAGAUAAUCACUAAGGAAAAAGUAAUGGUGGCCAAUAGCUUCAGAAACAAACUCUGGAACUGGGAGAAGGUUUCAUCUCAGAAAAGUGAAAUGUCAUCAGCCCUUCUCCUUGCCAACUGUGGAAGUAAGGCUAUCCAUCUGGAAGGGCAAAAAGGCAUGGGGCUUACUCCAGAGGAACCCAGGAAAAAGCUGGAAACAAAAGGAGCCCAGACUCUUCCUUCCCAGAAGCACGUGGUGGCCCCCAAAAUAUUACGUAACGUCUCUGAAGAUCCCUCUUUUGUAAUUUCUCAACAUAUCAGAAAGAGCUGGGAAAACCUACCUCCUGAGAGGAGCCCGGCAAGCAGCCCCUGCCAGCCCAUCUAUGAGUGUGAGCUUGCCAGUCAGGCCCCAGAAAAACAGCCAGAUGUCAGGCAUCACCACCUUCCCAAAACAAAGCCAUUGCCCUCCAUCGACUCCCUGGGUCCUCCUCCCCCAAAGCCUUCAAGACCUCCCGUCAUGAACCUCCAGGCCUUUCAGAGGCAGCCAGCUGCUGUUCCCAAGACUCAAGGGGAAGUGACUGUGGAAGAGGGCUCCCUGUCUCCAGAGAGGCUUUUCAAUGCAGAAUUUGAAGAACCACAUAAUUACGAGGCAACAAUUUCAUAUCUGAGACACUCUGGCAACUCCAUUAACCUGUGCACUGCAAAAGAAAUUGCUGAUCGUAGAUGCCUGUGAAGGGACACCUGAAAAAAUUCAGAUGACCAACAUCCACACAGGUAGAAGGAACAUGUUGGCUGGAAAGCAAGAGGCCAUGAUUGACAUCAUCCAGACAAAUCCCUGCCCUGAGGGCCCAAAGCUGGCCAGGCACUCCCAAGGCCACUGUGGGUAUCUGGAGGUUUUGGAGUCAACUAAAGAAACUCCAGACCUAGGGGUCUCUAAGACAAGUUCCAUCUCGGAGGAGAUAUAUGAUGAUGUCGAGUACUCCAGGAAAGAGGUACCGAAGCUGAACUACUCUAGCUCAUUUGCCUCAAAUAGUGAAGAAAAUAGAGAACUGUAUGAAGAUGUCUACAAAACAAAGAACAACUACCCAAAGAUAGAUUUAGAUGGAAAAGAAGCACUCAAAAGACUGCAGCAAUUCUUCAAGAAAGAAAAGGAUAGAUUUAAAAUAAAGAAAACCAAGUCAAAAGAAAACUUAAGUGCAUUUUCCAUUUUGCUGCCUGAUUUAGAACGUAAGUCUCAGGAAGUUAUUAUCUAUGAUGAUGUAGACCUGAGUGAAAAAGAGUCAAAUACUUUGUUGAAUAAGAAUGGAGAGAGUGGGCAUCCAUGUCUUAUUCCAGAAAAGCUGGAAGCUUUUCCCUGUUAGAGAUGAAGAUAAACUGAAAAUGUGGAAGCCCAAGUUUCUG